rnacentral:rRNA from 1 species
UACGUAGGGUGCGAGCGUUUGUCCGGAAUUAUUGGGUCGUAAAGAGCUCGUAGGCGGUGUGUCACGUCGGCCGUGAAAACCUGGGGCUUAACUCUGGGCGUGCGGUCGAUACGGGCAUCACUAGAGUUCGGCAGGGGAGACUGGAAUUCCUGGUGUAGCGGUGAAAUGCGCAGAUAUCAGGAGGAACACCGGUGGCGAAGGCGGGGUCUCUGGGCCGAUACUGACGCUGAGGAGCGAAAGCAUGGGGUAGCGAACAGG